rnacentral:sRNA from 1 species
UCCGUAGGUGAACCUUGCGGAAGGAUCAUUACCGAGUGCGGGUCCUUUGGGCCCAACCUCCCAUCCGUGUCUAUUGUACCCUGUUGCUUCGGCGGGCCCGCCGCUUGUCGGCCGCCGGGGGGGCGCCUCUGCCCCCCGGGCCCGUGCCCGCCGGAGACCCCAACACGAACACUGUCUGAAAGCGUGCAGUCUGAGUUGAUUGAAUGCAAUCAGUUAAAACUUUCAACAAUGGAUCUCUUGGUUCCGGCAUCGAUGAAGAACGCAGCGAAAUGCGAUAACUAAUGUGAAUUGCAGAAUUCAGUGAAUCAUCGAGUCUUUGAACGCACAUUGCGCCCCCUGGUAUUCCGGGGGGCAUGCCUGUCCGAGCGUCAUUGCUGCCCUCAAGCCCGGCUUGUGUGUUGGGUCGCCGUCCCCCUCUCCGGGGGGACGGGCCCGAAAGGCAGCGGCGGCACCGCGUCCGAUCCUCGAGCGUAUGGGGCUUUGUCACAUGCUCUGUAGGAUUGGCCGGCGCCUGCCGACGUUUUCCAACCAUUCUUUCCAGGUUGACCUCGGAUCAGGUAGGGAUACCCGCUGAACUUAAGCAUAUCAAUAAGCGGAGGA